UCGUUCAGCCGUACCUGUCCAUGCUAUUCCCUAAUUGGUCCACGUGUCCCUCGACUCUUCAAAAAAUUUUGCCUCUUUUUAUUUUCCCAAAUUACGGUAGCAUUCAAGAAGGAAAACAAAACUGACAAAAAGAGAAAAAAAAACCCAAAACUGACGACCAAACUGAACUGAAAAAAGACCGUCUUCUGUUUUUUUUUUACCCUUUAGUUUCAUUUUCGGUAAUAAUUUUGGUUUUUUUUAAAGAAAACAUUUUCUCUUUUUUCUUUAAAAACCCUAAUGAGUUCAUUUCAUUUGGCCCUGAUUUAUCUGUUUUUUGUUCACUUCCUCCGCUCAACUCAAAGGUAUUAUGGCGUCUCAUUCAAUUCAUUUCCAUUAUGGUGACUGAAUGUCAGACGUGUGGUGACAGGGGCUUCUCCGUGGCAUUGAUUUACUGUGAUAAGUAUCAGGCUUAUGCUGUACAUCGGUAUAUGACAACAUAGCCAUUGUCUGAUAAAUAACAUACUUGUUUUAGGAUCACCAAAUGGACUUUAAAUCUUUUAUUUAUUUAUCUUGUUAGUGUUGACGGCAGAGAUUUACUAUUUAGAAUUGUUGUAAAGAUGGAUGAGUUGAAAAUAUUGUAGUCACAUCACAAUGGAAACUCAUUGCCAAAACCUUAAGUUAGAUUCAUAUUGCACCAUUUAUCAAUUUGUUAAUUUGCUUCAGUAAGUUGAUUCCUGAUUAAGCCUUUGAUUCUUUUAUAUAUGUUUCCACUAAUUUUUGCUUUUAUGAUUAUUUUUCCUCAUCCAGUUAUUGCUUAUAUAAAUUACCAGAAACUUUUGAAGAGCAUGUUGUUUGGUUUUGUAUGGACUGUGAACCAAAGGUUGCAGAACCAUUUACUCUCCAGCAGGCUCUCCCUGUGACUGGCUUUCAAUCAAGAUUGAAGAAGGGCAAUUCUGUUAGAGAAUCAAAGGGGAAGAAUGACAUCAAAAGGAUGAAGAAGAAUAAGACAGAGCAAAUGUGACAAUGGGUCAUUGGUUAUAUCAAAGGUCCAAAGACAAAGUAGCCCCUUGCUUCCAGCAACUUUUGAGGAGCAUGUUGUUGGUUUUUCUGCAGACUGUGAACCAAAGGUUGCGAAAUCAUCUACUCUCCAGCAUGCUCUUCCUGUGACCAGCUUUCAAUCAAGAUCAUUGGGAGUGGUUGGGCCAAGCUCUAACCAGACAUAUUGAACCUCAAAUUCCUCCUUCACACACUUGUACACAUUCCAGAGGAUCAGAUUGGAUUAACAUUGAUAAGGGAGCUGAAUCUGUCUAUAAUAGAACACCUCUUGUAGCCAUCAAUGAGCAUUUAAACAUCAUAGAGCAUUACUUUUUGGACCCUGGGUGGAGGGAACUGGAUGGGGUAUAUUCUGAUGAAGCGGAUGAAUGUGUUAAUACUAAAACAACUCUUGUGGCUAUCAGCAACCAAAUCCCAAAACACAGUUAUAUACCUGCACAGCCAAUAUUUGAACCAGUACGGAGGGGAAGUUUCCAUCUCUAUGAAGAAAAUCUUACUGUUGGAGUUAUAGCCCAUUUUUCUAGUGUAGCAUGCUUGAAAGUUUGUGAGACAGCAAAAUGCUUACCUCAAUUGCUUUGCCUAAAAUUGCUUCCAAUAUGUGAUGUGUGGCCGAAAGGCUUUAAGAAAUGGGGGCCAAGUGAAAAAAGGAGACUAAGAUUUUUGACAGUCUAGCAGAUAAGAUGAUUGGCUGAAUUCUUGGCAUGAGAGCUGUGGUUCAAGUGUAGAACUGUUAGUUUACACUUCUAACAUUUUGCCACUGCACUUUUGGAGUGAGUCUAGAUAUACAUUGCUUCAUGUUUUGUUUAAUGAACAUAAGUUGGAUAUGCGGAUGCCAAUUGGCACGGAGUUAGAUUAAUUGGAUUUGGGUUAAUGAUAAGUAUUUAAUCAUUUAAUUCAUUUGCAAGGUUCCAGGAGAAGAUCUAUUUACGGGGAGUGUUUAGGUCAAAGCAAGCUUCACAUUUAACAAAUGUAGGUCGUGGAGAGGAGAAAAACCUCGUGAGGGCUUUAACCUGGGGAUCUAGGCGGUGAAUGAAUAGAUGUAGGUUCGAAUGAAUGGGGGGAUCUUAACAUGCAUAAAAGCUAAAGGUGAGUAACCAUCUUUUUCAAUUUUAAGUAUGAAAAUACGUAAUCACUCUAUUUCUUAUAUCACACCUCACUUUUCUGUACGUUAAAAAAUUUUAUUUUUCUUAUUUAUAUAAGUCAGUUUAUUGCCACACAUGUAAUUUCUGCUGUCUAGGCUUGUACUUGUGGUUAAUAAAUUGGAAGAAAAAGAAUAGAGAGUUUUUU